rfam:Erinaceus europaeus unplaced genomic scaffold scaffold00740, whole genome shotgun sequence
CAAAAGGCUCUUUUUAGAGCCACAUUACUUGGUCACAAAAGGCAAA